CCUACGGGAGGCAGCAGUGAGGAAUAUUGGUCAAUGGACGAGAGUCUGAACCAGCCAAGUCGCGUGAAGGAUGACUGCCCUAUGGGUUGUAAACUUCUUUUGUAAAGGAAUAAAACGAGGCACGUGUGCCUUUUUGCAUGUACUUUAUGAAUAAGGAUCGGCUAACUCCGUGCCAGCAGCCGCGGUAAUACGGAGGAUCCGAGCGUUAUCCGGAUUUAUUGGGUUUAAAGGGAGCGUAGAUGGGUUGUUAAGUCAGGUGGGAAAGUUUGCGGCUCAACCGUAAAAUUGCAAUUGAUACUGGCAGUCUUGAGUGCAGGUGAGGUAGGCGGAAUUCGUGGUGUAGCGGUGAAAUGCUUAGAUAUCACGAAGAACCCCGAUUGCGAAGGCAGCUUACUAAACUGUGACUGACAUUGAUGCUCGAAAGUGUGGGUAUCAAACAGGAUUAGAUACCCCGGUAGUC
rnacentral:rRNA from 1 species